ACGCACGCUGGCGGCAGGCCUAACACAUGCAAGUCGAGCGAGGACUUCGGUUCUAGCGGCGGACGGGUGAGUAACGCGUGGGAAUGUGCCCUUCUCUACGGAAUAGCCCUGGGAAACUGGGAGUAAUACCGUAUACGCCCUUUUGGGGAAAGAUUUAUCGGAGAAGGAUCAGCCCGCGUUGGAUUAGGUAGUUGGUGGGGUAAUGGCCUACCAAGCCGACGAUCCAUAGCUGGUUUGAGAGGGUGAUCAGCCACACUGGGACUGAGACACGGCCCAGACUCCUACGGGAGGCAGCAGUGGGGAAUCUUAGACAAUGGGGGCAACCCUGAUCUAGCCAUGCCGCGUGAGUGAUGAAGGCCUUAGGGUUGUAAAGCUCUUUCAGCUGGGAAGAUAAUGACGGUACCAGCAGAAGAAGCCCCGGCUAACUCCGUG
rnacentral:rRNA from 1 species